AUUCAACUGACGAGUUCGAAAUAGGACAAAACGCUCAUCCUGGAU
rnacentral:hammerhead_ribozyme from 1 species